rnacentral:rRNA from 1 species
AUACGUAGGGUGCGAGCGUUGUCCGGAAUUGCUGGGCGUAAAGAGCUCGUAGGUGGUUUGUCGCGUCGUUUGUGAAAUUCCGGGGCUUAACUCCGGGCGUGCAGGCGAUACGGGCAUAACUUGAGUACUGUAGGGGAGACUGGAAUUCCUGGUGUAGCGGUGAAAUGCGCAGAUAUCAGGAGGAACACCGGUGGCGAAGGCGGGUCUCUGGGCAGUAACUGACGCUGAGGAGCGAAAGCAUGGGUAGCGAACAGGAUUAGAUACCCUGGUAGUCCAUGCCGUAAACGGUGGGCGCUAGGUGUAGGGGUCUUCCACGACUUCUGUGCCGUAGCUAACGCAUUAAGCGCCCCGCCUGGGGAGUACGGCCGCAAGGCUAAAACUCAAAUGAAUUGACGGGG